rnacentral:rRNA from 1 species
GUGCCAGCCGCCGCGGUAAUACCGGCAGCACGAGUGAUGGCCGCUAUUAUUGGGCCUAAAGCGUCCGUAGCCGGCCGGGCAAGUCCGUCGGGAAAUCCACCCGCUUAACGGGUGGGCGUCCGGCGGAAACUGCUCGGCUUGGGACCGGAGGACCCGAGGGGUACGUCCGGGGUAGGAGUGAAAUCCCGUAAUCCUGGACGGACCGCCGGUGGCGAAAGCGCCUCGGAAGGACGGACCCGACGGUGAGGGACGAAAGCUGGGGUCUCGAACCGGAUUAGAAACCCUUGUAGUCC